GAUGAAGAACGCAGCGAAAUGCGAUAAGUAAUGUGAAUUGCAGAAUUCAGUGAAUCAUCGAAUCUUUGAACGCACCUUGCACCCUUUGGACUGCUCCAAAGGGUAUGCUCGUUUGAGUGUCAUUGUACUCUCACACUCUCUGAUCCUUUGGAUUUGGGGAGCAGUGGACUUGGGUGCUUGCUGCUUCCUUGUGGCUCACCUGAAAUGCAUCAGUGCAUCUCUCGAUUGGACAUAGUACGGCGUGAUAAGUGUCUUCGCCGGCACCUCAUAUGAGGGUGGCCGAUCGGGAGCUCUGUGCUUUCAAACCGUCUUCGGACAACGCUGACAACUUGACCUCAAAUCGAGUAGGACUACCCGCUGAACUUAAGCAUAUCAAUAGCGGAGGA
rnacentral:misc_RNA from 1 species